rnacentral:rRNA from 2 species
CGGCGGACGGGUGAGUAACACGUGGGUAACCUGCCUGUAAGACUGGGAUAACUCCGGGAAACCGGGGCUAAUACCGGAUGGUUGUUUGAACCGCAUGGUUCAAACAUAAAAGGUGGCUUCGGCUACCACUUACAGAUGGACCCGCGGCGCAUUAGCUAGUUGGUGAGGUAACGGCUCACCAAGGCAACGAUGCGUAGCCGACCUGAGAGGGUGAUCGGCCACACUGGGACUGAGACACGGCCCAGACUCCUACGGGAGGCAGCAGUAGGGAAUCUUCCGCAAUGGACGAAAGUCUGACGGAGCAACGCCGCGUGAGUGAUGAAGGUUUUCGGAUCGUAAAGCUCUGUUGUUAGGGAAGAACAAGUACCGUUCGAAUAGGGCGGUACCUUGACGGUACCUAACCAGAAAGCCACGGCUAACUACGUGCCAGCAGCCGCGGUAAUACGUAGGUGGCAAGCGUUGUCCGGAAUUAUUGGGCGUAAAGGGCUCGCAGGCGGUUUCUUAAGUCUGAUGUGAAAGCCCCCGGCUCAACCGGGGAGGGUCAUUGGAAACUGGGGAACUUGAGUGCAGAAGAGGAGAGUGGAAUUCCACGUGUAGCGGUGAAAUGCGUAGAGAUGUGGAGGAACACCAGUGGCGAAGGCGACUCUCUGGUCUGUAACUGACGCUGAGGAGCGAAAGCGUGGGGAGCGAACAGGAUUAGAUACCCUGGUAGUCCACGCCGUAAACGAUGAGUGCUAAGUGUUAGGGGGUUUCCGCCCCUUAGUGCUGCAGCUAACGCAUAAGCA